UACGGAGGGAGCUAGCGUUGUUCGGAAUUACUGGGCGUAAAGCGCGCGUAGGCGGCGUUUCAAGUCAGAGGUGAAAGCCUGGAGCUCAACUCCAGAACUGCCUUUGAAACUAGAACGCUAGAAUCUUGGAGAGGUCAGUGGAAUUCCGAGUGUAGAGGUGAAAUUCGUAGAUAUUCGGAAGAACACCAGUGGCGAAGGCGACUGACUGGACAAGUAUUGACGCUGAGGUGCGAAAGCGUGGGGAGCAAGCAGGAUUAGAUACCCUGGUAGUCCACGCCGUAAACGAUGAUAACUAGCUGCCGGGGUUCAGAGAACUUCGGUGGCGCAGCUAACGCAUUAAGUUAUCCGCCUGGGGAGUACGGUCGCAAGAUUAAAACUCAA
rnacentral:rRNA from 1 species